UACAGAGGUCUCAAGCGUUGUUCGGAUUCAUUGGGCGUAAAGGGUGCGUAGGCGGGUCUUUAAGUCAGGGGUGAAAUCCUGGAGCUCAACUCCAGAACUGCCUUUGAUACUGAUGAUCUUGAGUUCGGGAGAGGUGAGUGGAACUGCGAGUGUAGAGGUGAAAUUCGUAGAUAUUCGCAAGAACACCAGUGGCGAAGGCGGCUCACUGGCCCGAUACUGACGCUGAGGCACGAAAGCGUGGGGAGCAAACAGG
rnacentral:rRNA from 1 species